GGCCUCGUGGCCCAAUGGCAAGGCGUCUGACUACGAUCAUGAGUCAAGUUGCAGCAGCACGAUGUUCAUAUGAUAAUCAGGAGAUUCUGGGUUCGACCCCCAGCGAGGUCA